GCACCUUCAUUUUCCAUUCAGUUCCUCCGGCCAAAAAACCUUGGGAUCAUCUUUGACUCCUGUCUCCCUCUCUUUUCAUAAUCUCAAGCUCUCUUUCUCUCCACCCCACCCUUACCCCCCAUUCACCAUCAGCAAAUACUGUUGGUUCUACUUUCAAAAUAUACCAGCAGUUUGACCCCUUUUCCACCUGAACUGCCCACCUGUAUGAGUGCAGCAGCCUCCUCAUGGUUCUCCUGCUUCCCCCUCGGCCCCCUGGAAUCCAUUCUAUGCAGCAGCCAGAGUGACCCUGCUGGAACUUAGGCCAGAUCCUGCACUUCUCUGCCCCAAACCUAGCAAUGGCUCCCAGUUCAUUCAGGGUCAAAGCAGAGUCCUGCCUGGGGCCCCCGCUUGCUCCCUCUCUGCCCUCAGCUCCUGCCACCCCCCAUCUUGCCCACUGACCUCCAUCAUACCAUGUGUAUUCUCACCUCAGGACCUUUGCACUUGCUGUUCCUUCUCCCCAGUAUCUACUUCCUUCUGGUAUUUACAUCGAUCAAAUGUCACCUGCUCAGAGAGACUUUCCCUUACCUCCCUGCCCCAUCCUCUCCCCACUGGGUUGUUCUUUCCCUGCUCUGUUGCUCCUCAGCAACUAUUCCCACGUGACCUUAUGUUAUACAUGUAUGUGUCUAUUACUAGAACGUAACCUGCACUAGGGCAGAGCCCCGCCUGUCUUCUCACUGCUGUAUCCCUGAUGCUUAAUAAACAUUUGUGGAAUGAAAAGCUAGAUGGAUGGAUUCCAUGAAGGGACAGCAAAUACUAAACACCUGGUCUGUAUCAGGUUCUGUGCUGGGUGCUGAGGCGACACAUGUGAACAGGACCUCCUGUGCCACCCACAGUGCCCUAGUCUGAGGAGGGAGACAGACGCCAAGCCAGAAAUCAUGAAGCAGGUGGAAUGGGGUGGUGUCCGGGAAUGAGCUCAGAGGAGGAAUUGGUCCAGCCGGUCCGAGGGAGCUUCCUGGAGGAGGGGGCAUACUCAGGGCCACCUGGGAGGUGAAUAGAAAUUGGGCAGGGAGGAGGGUCAGGCAGACAGGUAGGCAGUGUGCUCCAGGGGCUGAGGACCGGCCUGGUGGGCAGGUAACCUCAUAUUAAAGUCAAUAGGGGUCAGGUGGGUGGAGAGAAGGGCAAGUUUUCCAGGUUGGGGUCACCAUGUGGGGAAAGGCCCCGAGGUGGGAAUGAGUGUGGGCAGCGUGGCUGGCGGAGAUGGACUGAGGAGGGGCUUAAGCGCUGCCUGGAGAGGCGUUAGGCAGAGCAGCAGAGCCUGGGCUGGAAUCCUGGCUCUUCCCCUCCAAUGGUGUGAUCCUGGAUGCAUCACUUCUCUUUUCAGCAGCUCAGUUUUCCCAUCAGUGGACUCCUGACUAUGUGCCUUUUCUGCUGCGUGUCCUGCCUCACAGAGAGGGUGAGACUUAAACCUGGAGGGAGGGAUCCAGGGAAGAGAGGAGAAUGCCAGGAAAAGCAUGGUGAGCAGGGGGAACAGAAUAUGCAAAGACAUGGGGCCUUUCUUCUGGAUGUGUUUCUCCAGUCGCUCCCUCAGGGAGCAGCGAGGCAGGGAAGACAGUGAAAGGGGCAGCCUGGCUGUCCCCAGCGGAGGCCAGCCCUGGAGCAUGCCUGGUUCUCCACUUGAGGGGCCAGCCAGCGUUGGCCUCACACUCGGGUGAGCACCACAGCCCUGAGACAGGCCCGCGAAGCUGGAGAAGCCAAGGCUCAGAGCAGAGAGGUGACUGGCAGCCACAUUACCACAUGGCUGGUAAGUGGCAGACAAGGGACUUGAAUCCAGACCUACCUGUCCCCACUCCCUGCUGUCCUUUCACAAGACUGAGCCACCUGUGGGUGGGCCAGGUCUCGGGGAGCCAGGAUCGCACAGGUCCAUCACACAGGUGUGAGGAACCUGCUCAUGCCAGGCUCUGAGACUGAGUCCCAUGCCCCCACCGCAGGGCUGCCGUGAUCAAGGCCACUUCCUCCUUUGGGGGAGGUGAGUCAGGCCUCUGGAAACCCUCUAAGCCUCUCCCCUUGGCUGGAACUUCUCUGAAGACUCUGGAAGCUCCUGGAAUAUUCCAGGUUUAUUGACUCCCUGGAGCCUCCCAACCACCCCUCAAACAGGGGCUGUUGUUAUCCCCAUUUGACAGAUCGGGAGACAGAGGCUCGGAGAGGAGCAGUUACCCAGGGGAGACACACAGGUUAAAUGGGGAGGUCCUGCUGGGUUCAUUCUCUGAGGCUGCUUUAGGGACAGAGGGCCUAGGCCAUAUACAGCUGAGAGCUGGUGCACGGGGCUAAUUUCAGCCUACACUAAGAACUUUCUUCCAGGUAUGCCCAAGAUGGACACUUUGCAGGAGUUUCAACAACCUCUGCAAGUGGAGGGAGGGGAGAUUAAAGUCGUGUUGGAUUGAGCAGUCCAAGUUUCUUUGACCUCUCCAAGCUUCAGUUUCCUUAUCUGUGAAAUGGGGAUAUUAAUACCUAGCUGUCAGAGGCAUUAGGAGUCAAGGAGCCCACAAAAGGUGCCCAGUAAGCGCCACUGUCCCCUCCUGGGGCCCCCAAGCUUCCCCUAUAACAGCCAAGCUUAGAGGGUGGAGUGGCAAAGGGGCCACCUCCAACAGCCCUGUGCCUGUGGAGCAGCCCCGCAGGCCCCGCUGCCUCCCUCACAUGGGGAGCUGCGGGGGUAGGUCAGGCUAGGGGUUCCAGACAGCUGCCUCCUGGUCUCAUGUGUCAGCUGGGCCGUGGGGUACCUUGAGUAACGGGGAGGCCCCACAAUGACUUCUUUCUUUUUUUCUUCUUUUUCACUGCACCGCGCAGCUUAGUUCCCCGGACAGGGAUGGAACCUGGGCCCCCUGCGGUGGAAGCGUGGAGUCCUAACCACUGGACUGCCAGGGAAGUCCCCCCGCACGAUGACUUUUUGAAAAGCACAGCUUUGAGGGCAGACACAGGCCUCUUGCCACCACUGACACUGGCCUCCAGGAGGCAGGGCUCACAUGUCAUCUUCGUAAUAACCUCACUGCUCUGAAUCGCAGCCCCACCCAGGCUUAGCCCAGAGCCUCCCUGCCCUCCAGAGCUUCCUGGCUCCCUGGUUAGGAAAUGGCUCAAUGCCAGGACCCAGAGAGCUGGGGAAAUCUCACUCCAAUGGGCUCUGUCACGGUGCUCCAGGCAGUUGGUAUUUAUAGAGCACCUACUCUGUGCUAGAGACUUUCCUUACCUUUGCUCAAAUAAUUCUUGAGGUGGGCCUACCAUCUCAUGUCACAGGAGAGAAAGCCAAGGCUCAGGGAGAAGCAGCAUCUGGGCUGAACAACAUUGGAGCUGGGGUUCUAUCCCCAGGGGUGAGCGUCCCCUGCAUCCUGCGUCCCCUGGGCAGGGCAGUGGAAGGAGCAUUGGCUUUGCAGCCCUGGAGUUUGGUGGGUGGUGGUGGGGACUCUGGGCUUUGCAGGAGGACAGAUCCAGGCCCAGUCCUGACUCUGCCCUCGUGUUUUUGCACAUUCUGUUCCCUCUGCUCACUAUGCUCUUCCUGGCAGACUCCUCUCUACCCUGGGUCUCUCUUGGCUUAAGUCUCACCCUUUCUGUGAAGCAGGGCAGUGUAGCCAGGGAUCCACAGGCUUGUUUUCAAAUCCUGCCCCCGCCGAGCUUGGAAGGGAGAAGAAUAAGGGACACAGCAUGCAAACAGCGAACAGCACGGGCAGAGGCAAGAGGUUGUGAGUAGGCCCUUGAGAGCCGCAUCAGCCGGGAGGGUGGAGCCAGGCAGAAGGGAGGAGGCCUGGGUUGGGCUGCCCUGUCACCAUUCUGGGCCUUUGCCCAGGCUGCCUUCCCUGCCUGGCCUACCCUUCCCCUUCUCCUGUCCAAGCCGUCAUGCCUUUAAGUCCCUGUGCAGUGGAGUUCCCUGUCCGUCUCUUCCUGAGCCACCCCUCUUCACAUCCUCCUUCCCCAGUGUUCCCACGGCCCCAGGUGCCGCCUUGAUGUGAGCAGUCGGUGUCUCAGGUCACGCAGGAUGACAGCAGCUGCCCCCAACUCACAGGGUUCUCCAGGGGAUUAAAUGAGGUUGUGCUUGUAGAGCAGCAAACCACACCGCCUCCGACAGUCAGCCGGCUGGGACAUACACGUUCGUGCACGUCAUUAUUAGUAUCUGUGAGUCUCUUGAGGGUAGGGCCUUGUGUCUGGUGUCCUGCUCGCUGCAAGGCAGAAGCAGGGGGCUUGGCGAUAGCUUCCAGCACAAACGGGCAGCCUGUUCUCCUGUGCAAAUGUGAGAUCUAAUAAAGCUACCAGUAACCUACAUAGUUAUCGUGUAUUGAAUGCCUACUUCGUCUUGUUUAAUCCUGACUAACCUUCAACGUGGGAAUUGUUAGACCCAAUUGGCAGAUAGUAUAAUUGAGGCUUAGAGAGCUUAGGCCUGAAAUGCAGAGGAUAAGCAGCUGAGUCGGGUUUUGCACCUGCGUCGGGCUGUGCGUUGGUUAGGACUCUGUCCUGUUAUGCCCUUUGCCGGGUAGUCCAGAUGCCCCCUUCUCUCCCUCCUGGGUGCCCUUCCCCAUCGCCAGGCCACCCCUUGGAGUCACUGGGGUGAGGGGAUGUAGACGUCGGGACCCAUGGUGAUCUGUGUGUUCAUGGGUCCUGUACCCUGUGGCACACGCACACACAUGUGCCUGCAGUGCACAUACAUGCGCACACAUACACUUGACCUCCGUGGCCAACAAGCUCCCCUCACCGGUCUCCAGAGCCACGUCUCUGCAACCGCAACGGCGUGAAGUCUGUGUGAAACGUUUGAGUCGAGCUGUCACUGCUCAUCGAUUUGUUGGCCUCAGUCCCCAAGCUGAUUUCACCGGAGAUCCUGUCAGCUCAUCGUGCAUGGGCCCCACCACCCAGCUCCCUGUCCCCAGUGCAGCGGGCGUGGCGAGGGAGGAGCCAGCACCCUCUAUCCAGUCGCAUCCGGCCCAGCACCUGGGAAGCCCGGGACCUUGCUGGGGGCCCUGGGCAGCUCACGUGACCUCUCUGAGCUCCAGUUUCAGUGACCCCAUCCACUCUGUCUACCCGGUCAGGCGAGGAUUAAAGGGGGAAGAACAGGAGAAUGUAAGGUGGUGGCGGGGGUGGUAUUCAGGGGAGUCCCAGCUGCUGGGGUCCACCUGGGCCCGCUGGGGAAGGUGCUUGCAUAAACCAUAAGUGGUUCUGAACCAAGUGGGGCGUGGGCCAGCCCUGGAUCAUCUUCCCUUGAACUCAGCUCUGGGAGCCACCGGUACCUGCACCCAUCCCAGCAGCCUCUGAGAGGGUGUGGGCAGCCCUCAGGCAGGGGAGGGGCUUUGGGACUCUUCAAAGUAGCCGCAUGGUGGGCCAGAGCUGCCAGUGGCCAGAGGAUAAAGGCAGUGAUGGGGCUGGGAGGACCUGCAUGGGCGUUGAGCCUAGGGCAGGCCAGCUCAGGGAGGAGAAAGCCUGGACCCUGGAGAGGUUCACUCAUUCCUUCCUUCAUUCUGCACGUGUUUGUUGAGCACCUCAUUUGUGCCAUGCAGACCCCAUGCUCAGUAUUGGGUACAGGGCAGUGGACAAGACCCCUGCCCUCAUGGAGAUCACUUCCUGAUGGAGGAACACAGACAAAAAACAUAAUAAGGAAGUAAAAUAUAUCGUGGUCCAGAGUGAUAAGUGCUAAGAAGAAAAAUAAAACAGGGAAGGGAAACGAGGGGUGGAUGGUUUGUUUUUUUUUUCAUUAAUAAAUAAGGUGUCCAAGGAAGGUCUAAUUGAGAAAGUGACAUUUGAGCAAAGACGGCAAGGAGGUGAGGGGCUGAGUCAGAUGGCUCUCUGGGGGAAGAGUAUUCCAGCCCGAGGGAUCAGCCAGGGCAAUGGCCUGGAGCAGGGAGCGGGCCUCACACGGUCAAGGAAUAGCAAGGAGGCCCGCGUGGCUGGAGGGGAGUGAGGGAGGGGGAGGCAGUAGCAGAUGAGCUCAGAGAGGAAAUGGGGGCCAGAUGGUGAGGCCUCCUGGACUCACCAUUUAAAAGGAUCCCUCUG